rnacentral:pre_miRNA from 1 species
UGUUCCAGUUUUGAGAGGAGUGUGUGUUGGCAAACUCUCCUCUCGAUCCUGGCACUAC